GAUGAACGCUGGCGGCGUGCCUAAUACAUGCAAGUCGAGCGAACGGACGAGAAGCUUGCUUCUCUGAUGUUAGCGGCGGACGGGUGAGUAACACGUGGAUAACCUACCUAUAAGACUGGGAUAACUUCGGGAAACCGGAGCUAAUACCGGAUAAUAUUUUGAACCGCAUGGUUCAAAAGCGAAAGACGGUCUUGCUGUCACUAAAGAUGGGUCCGCGCUGCAUUAGCUAGUUGGUAAGGUAACGGCUUACCAAGGCAAAGAUGCAUAGCCGACCUGAGAGGGUGAUCGGCCACACUGGAACUGAGACACGGUCCAGACUCCUACGGGAGGCAGCAGUAGGGAAUCUUCCGCAAUGGGCGAAAGCCUGACGGAGCAACGCCGCGUGAGUGAUGAAGGUCUUCGGAUCGUAAAACUCUGUUAUUAGGGAAGAACAUAUGUGUAAGUAACUGUGCACAUCUUGACGGUACCUAAUCAGAAAGCCACGGCUAACUACGUG
rnacentral:rRNA from 1 species